AUGCCGGGGCCCUCCUGGAUGAGGAUGUCUUCCAGGGAAAGGAGCUGGUCAACAGUCACUCACUGCAGGCUCUGGUGGCGGGGCUGAAGGCCUACAGCACCUGGGAGAACAUCCGCUGCCUGCAGGACUGCUGCGAGUGCACUGGAGGCAUGGGUUACAUGAUGGAAAAUCGAAUCUCAGGCUUAAAGUGUGACACAGAUACAUUUGCCACUUUUGAAGGUGACACUGUCGUUAUGCUUCAGAUACAGUCCAAGCAGUACACACAGAUCAUCAGGAUAACAGCCACAUAACCAGAGAUUGCCGUGGGGAUUCUGGCCUUUGUCUUGCACUGCUAAGCCCAUCAGCACCAGAGAACACCUUCUUGAUCACCAGGAACCAAUGAGGAAAGAACAGAUGUUGUGGGGCGGGAACUGCUGGCCCAAUACACCAAACAGUAUGAAGAAAAACCACUCUUUGGUCUGCUCCAAAACUGGGCUGAAUCUGUGGGGGACAAGCUGAGAACAAUUUUCCUGGCAUUUAACAUGGACACAGUUGAUGAUCUUGCCUUUCUGUUGAAAGCAGUGAAAUUUCGUGAAAGGAUUCUUCAGUGGGGUUUGGUGACCAGAAUUUAUUAUAAGGUAAAGAUACACUUUUCCUUUUGACAUGUGUUUAAGGGAUAUCCUUGCUGGUGAACUAUCUGUUAAGUUUAGUAGAGGAUGAGUCAGCUUAAUGACAAGCUUCUGGAAGCAGCUAGAGUUCCUACAGGCCAUUUUGCAUGACACCAUUGCUUGCUCUAGAGGCCAGGAUGCUUCUGUUUAACCCCCUUUAUGUCAUCUUGUAGAAUUCCACCUGCAAGCACCAUGUGGCUGCCAUGGGAGUUUAUGAGUGGUAUAAUUUUCAGCCCUUAUCGAAAUUGAA